UCAGUUCACUGUUGGUUUGGAUCCAAACAUGAAGACAAAUAUUAACAUUAAACAGAUUCUUCAUCCUCAUUUUAAUGAGUUAAGUUGUUUGGAUCUGAGUUUUGUUCUCACAACAUAAAUAAAACUAGUGAACAUUCAGCAGGAUGUGAUGUGUGUUGAACCAACGUCCCGAAGGUCCGACGAGUCAGCUGAUCAGUCACCUGACAGCUGGAGGGACUGAGUGUGUGUGUGUGUGUGUUACAUUAGCAUACAGUGAUAACGGCUCCGUCAAACAGACUGAAAUGAGUUUAAAUAUUUGAAGACUUGAAGUUUGAGGAUGAAGUUUGUGCCGAGCGUCUGUGAGUAUCAACGCUUUCUGUUCUCAGCUUCUUUAACUGAUCGUUGUUGUUGUUGUUGUGUUUCAGCACAUUAAAGGAAAAGUUCACAUUUUCUGACUGUCAAGAGAAUCUACACUGUAAAAAAAAUAGGAAAUAAAUAUAAAGUCCUUAUUCUUAGAAGAAAAAACAUGUUUUAUUCAACAUUCCUGCUUCCUGUCAGGCAGCGAUCGGUUUUCCUUCAUUUCUAUAAAAUCUAAAACUAAACUUGUUGUGGAAAAGUAAUAACAGUUUAACAACAUUUUAUGUUUUAAUUGUCAAGGUGAUUUUUCUUUAGAGAUCAGAUCAUGUUACAGUAACAGAUGUUUUUACUUAUAUACAGUUAUAAACAGUUAAUACCUGGUUUAUAACACAUUAUAAUGUAGCUGUAAGCAGAUAUAAAUGUUUAUUAAUGUAAUAUGAAAGUGUAAACACAAGUUGUGUUUAUUUAUUUAUUUACAUUACACACUGACAGCUCAGAAACAUAAUUAUAGAUGCUUUAACUGAUGCAUUAAUUACAGCAGCUUUAAUCUCAACAUUUAAAGAAUAAAAUAAUAUAUUCUGGCAGUAAAAGGUUUCCCUCCAGCAGGGUCGGCUGAAGUUGAAUCAUGUUAAAUAAAGUUGUGUGAGGAAUAAUGACUCUGCUGUUAAUAGGAUUAAAUGAUUGACUUGGCUGGGAAUCCAUUUUCAAUUUACAUUUAUAAUCAGUAUAGUUAUUAAAACCAGUCUGCUGGUGAAACACCGACGUCUGCACGUGUCACACUUAUUCCAUCAUGUUGCUUUUCUUCACUACGUCCUUAUUCACUCCAUCACUUCCUCCUUUGGGUUGGGACGUCUGCCUCCUCCUUCUUGUCCUUAAAUGCUUCCUUCUUUCCUCCUUUCCUUCCUUCCUUCCUUCUUUCCUUCCUUCUUUCCUUCCUUCCUCUCUGCAGCGUCAGACUCGUGUAUUUUUAGUUUCCUCGCUGUGCUUCAUGUAGGUGUAAAUCACGCUGUGUUUCCUGUUUCCUGCGGUGACUCUGAUGAUGUUUCUGUGUUUCAGUGUUGACAGUGUUCUGCUGCAGUCUGCUGACCACACAAGAGAUCACGUUGACCUGCGACCCGGAGAAAUUCACACAGCAGCUCGACUGCGGGAUCCAUCGCGUGUGUCAGAAAAGGAGAGCUUCACUUUACUGCAGUGAGACGCUUUUUCCUGGAACUGGUUUGUUUUUGCCUUUCCA